GCAAAUGGCUCAUUAAAUCAGUUAUCGUUUAUUUGAUUGUACCUUUACCACUUGGAUAACCGUGGUAAUUCUAUAGCUAAUACAUGCGAAAAGUCCCGACUUCUGGAAGGGAUGUAUUUAUUAGAUUCAAAACCAAUGCGGGUUCUGCCCGGUCAUUUGGUGAUUCAUAGUAACUGUUCGAAUCGCAGGGCCUCGCGCCGGCGAUGUUUCAUUCAAAUUUCUGCCCUAUCAACUGUCGAUGGUAAGGUGUUGGCUUACCAUGGUUACAACGGGUGACGGAGAAUUAGGGUUCGAUUCCGGAGAGGGAGCCUGAGAAACGGCUACCACAUCCAAGGAAGGCA
rnacentral:rRNA from 1 species